GGAGCUAAGUUGGAGCUCACGAAGUGUUACUGAGCGACUCCCAAGCUGACUCAUGCUGGCUCACUCUGUGGCUCCUACUGAUGGGUUGCAUGGAAGGAGAUGGCAGACCUCAGUCUCCAAGCAGGUGAUUUUGCAGGACCAAAUGGAAAAACCAGGGAUAACCAGCAAAUUGAAGAAGAAUACAAAAAUUAUUCAAGAAAUUUAAGGUAAUUUUCACUCACAAGGGAAAAACAUAUUCAAGAGUCAGUUUAUGAGCAGAAAUAUUACAACCAAGGCAACCAAAGAAACAACCAUGUUAAAAUUUAUUUGGUCCCACAAAAAUUUCUAGCCAUGCAUACAGUUUUAUUUUCUAUAAUCUAAUCUAGUGCAGAACUGUACUACUCUCAGCAACUGAGACAAUAGUGACAUUAUGUAACUAGUGACAAUAUCUAUUAGGUAAUUAUAAAAAAUUCUUUCAUCAUCCUCAUGUAAAUGCAUAAAACUGCAUUUCAGCUUCGUAUAUUGUCAUAUGUCAAAAAAUAAAUAACCAUCAAUGUACAGAUAUCUUAAAAACUAAAACAUAAGUUUCUAUCUGAUCCAGUUGUACCUCCUGACUAUAUUCUGUAAUGAGAUAAAAACCAUCAAAUUUUAAUGAUACAUGCAUACAUAUUGAUGUUCAAAGCAGGGCCUUGUUGGUAAUCACAGAGGCCAAGCUCUGGAAAGAGUCUCCAUGGCCUUCCUGAAUGUCUGGGUGAAGACAGCAUGGGACAGGCUUAGCCAACUUGUGCAUCUUUUUAAUCCCAGCCUCUGGGAAGAUGAGUCGGCAGGAUGACAACUCAAAGUUCAGCCUGGCCUAAGUAAUAGUAAGAAUCUCUCUUGAAAUAAGGAAUAAUAAAACUGGAUAUGAAAUUCUGUCAAUAGACCUGUGUUUACUUCUAAUCAAUGAGAAAAUAUACUAUAAUUUCA
rnacentral:lncRNA from 1 species